GGCAGGCAUACCUAUGCUUGGGUGAUCAAGACUUAGCAGGAUAUGGCCGCCAUAAAAUACACUGCGGAUCCAUAAUUGUAUUGAUAAAAAGGUAUAGCCACCGAAGAUUACAAUGUGGAUCUAUACUCUGAUGACUCGGACUGGUCGUAGCCACGAAGAAUACACAGUGGAUCUACGAGAUGACAAGACAUAGCCACAACCAAUACAAAGUGGAUCUAUGUUACAGUGUAUGUGUUCUUUGUCCAAUAGAAAUUCCUUCACAGCCUGGGUAAAUCAUAUAUCAAAGUGAUUGCUCAGCCCAAGGUCUUCUUACUAAUCCCAAUAUGGCACGAAUCUGACCAUGCGAAUAGAUGUCUUGACGUCGAACAUGGCAGAAACCACUUGAUUACCGGUCAAUGGUGUGAACCGUUAACAAGUGCGAGGGAGAUCACCAUUAAUGUCGAUGAUUCCCAAGGUACCCCACUACAUUCCAGUGAAUGUGAAUAGAUGAGUUGAAGUCGAACACCCACGUAAUCAUUCGAUCAAAGGUCAAUGAUGUAAACCUACUGUCGAAUGUGAGGAGGCAUGUCAUUGAGGCAUGCAGGUCCCAAAGUACUAAAUGGUUUCUAAGUCUGAUUCUCGGAUAAUGUGUUGGAGUCAACAGGAAUAGACUUGUCGAGGGAGGGCCUUAAAUUUGACGUGUAACAAUAUAUAUAUUAAACCUUGUCAAAACUAGUUUAGACAAUGAGAAUCUGAUUGUUUAAUUAAAACAAAUCAUUUUGAUGGUCCCUGCGGAUGCUAACGCAGUGUGAUUUAUACCCAUUUCUCUUCAUGUGAAAGUGAAGAAAUUAAACCAAGCGCGGGUAAAUGACGGGAGUAAAUAUGACUCUCUUAAGGUAGUCAUAUGCCUGGUCAUCUAAUUAGUGACAUGCAUGAAUGGAUUAACAAGAUUCCCACUAACCCUAGCUACUAUCUAUAGAAACCACAGCCAAUGGAUAUUAG
rnacentral:ncRNA from 1 species